rnacentral:rRNA from 1 species
AUUGAACGCUGGCGGCAGGCCUAACACAUGCAAGUCGAACGAGUGGCGGACGGGUGAGUAAUGUCUGGGCAACUGCCUGAUGGAGGGGGCUAACUACUGGAAACGGUAGCUAAUACCGCAUACCAUCAGAUGUGCCCAGAUGGGAUUAGCUUGUUGGUGGGGUAACGGCUCACAAAGGCGACGAUCCCUAGCUGGUCUGAGAGGAUGACCAGACACACGGGAACUGAGACACGGUCCAGAAGCCGACGGGAGGCAGCAGUGGGGAAGAUUGCACAAGGGGCGAAAGCCUGAUGCAGCCAUGCCGAGUGUAUGAAGAAGGCCUUCGGGUUGUAAAGUACUGUCAGCGGGGAGGCGUUACCCGCAGAAGAAGCACCGGCUAACUCCGUGCCAGCAGCCGCGGUAAUUC